rnacentral:rRNA from 1 species
AGAGUUUGAUCCUGGCUCAGAACGAACGCUGGCGGCAGGCCUAACACAUGCAAGUCGAGCGAGAUCUUCGGGUCUAGCGGCGGACGGGUGAGUAACGCGUGGGAAUAUGCCCUUCUCUACGGAAUAGCCCCGGGAAACUGGGAGUAAUACCGUAUACGCCCUUUGGGGGAAAGAUUUAUCGGAGAAGGAUUAGCCCGCGUUGGAUUAGGUAGUUGGUGGGGUAAUGGCCUACCAAGCCGACGAUCCAUAGCUGGUUUGAGAGGAUGAUCAGCCACACUGGAACUGAGACACGGUCCAGACUCCUACGGGAGGCAGCAGUGGGGAAUAUUGCACAAUGGGCGCAAGCCUGAUGCAGCCAUGCCGCGUGUAUGAAGAAGGCCUUCGGGUUGUAAAGUACUUUCAGCGGGGAGGAAGGGAGUAAAGUUAAUACCUUUGCUCAUUGACGUUACCCGCAGAAGAAGCACCGGCUAACUCCGUGCCAGCAGCCGCGGU